rnacentral:snRNA from 1 species
AUACUUACCUGGCAGGGGAGACACCAUGAUCAAGCAGGUGGUUCACCCAGGGCGAGACUCGGCCAUUGCACUGCGGCAGUGUUGACCCGU